UUUGUUUUUGUAACACAACUUACUAAAUUUGAAGUUUUUUUUUUAAUUUUGUAAUUGUGAUACUAAAAAGGUUAUUAUAAAAAUAUUUAACCUUUAAGUUUAAUUCAAAACGAUAAUAUGGAUGGGGCCAUCUAGACCAGGAGCGCGCGCGGCGCUGUUUCGGUUGAUAAUUCAGUUUGCCUUUUUACUUGUCUGUUGCGUUGACCGUUGACAGUUGACAGUUAUGACACCGCAGCAGCAACUAACAAUUUUCAGUGCAUUACACGUUAUUCUACGGUGCAUCAUAGGUGUUUAAUCGUUGUUAAUAGAUUGCUUAUACCAACAUUACCCAGAUGGAUUACUUUGAAUCGGUCAGAUCAAACAUUGGACAGGAAAGCUUCAACCUCGUUCAGUUUCUAAAGAAUAGGUCUCCGCAUACACCAGUCAGCUGUAACAUGCACGAGUUGCACGUGGAUUCAUUAAGAAAUUGUGUUUUAUACAACAUUAUGCAACAGGGGUUGUACAUAUGUCCCGAGACAAGUAGGGACAUCAUUUCCUUUUUAGAGGAUGAUUUUAGCAAUUCUGUAAAAAAAAUAUACCUACAAGUUUUGGUUCAUUAUACCAAAUUAAACGUUCAUCAAGUGUACGAAACCUAUUCAAGUAAUUUUGAUAAAAGGCCAAGUGGUACUAAGACGAACAUUGAUAAUUACUUUGAUUCUCUGAUUAAAGAGUUUGUAUUAAAGGCACAGCAAGAAGAAGCAUAUAACGUGAUAAAAGUCACCUCUGAAGAGGAAAUACAAGUGGUUCGUACUGCAUUGUUGAGUCCCUCUAUACGGUCUGGUUUUCAAACUUGUUUGAAUGACAUUAUGGGAUUCUCCUGCACUGCUGAAUGGAUCAAAGUUAAAAUUGAGAAGAUGCAAAUUUACACCCUUGAUAAUUUUAAACCACUGGCAGGUUUACGUGGGGCAUGUCUUAUAGAUGGUAUUCUAAUAUGCAAAGGUCAAUUGGCUGAAGUCCCAGGCACAAAAAACUUUGAAGCUGAUGCAGUAACACUCGCAGCACAUGAGUGUGCCCAUUAUUUGGGGCGAAUGAUGGAUGGAAAUUUUAACUGGUCAACUCCAUCCGGAAAUAUUGCUGAAAGGCAACAAGACCUUGUAUUUCCAAGUAUAAACUUAGAAGCUGGAAGAACAAUGGAGCUGAUAAUUUUUGACAAGAUACAACCAGAUUGGCGCCAUUCAUCUGAAAAUUCCGCGAUACAGUUUUUAGAGAGACUAAAAGUUGUUGAAACGUGCCCAAUUCUCAGAGCAGAAGAACAUAACACACUUAAUUUAAAAAGUCGUAUUUGUUCGAUCGUAUCGUUUGGUAUUGAUAUUGAAAAUCAAUUUAUUGAUUUUUAUUAAGACUGAAGAACAUAUAAUUUAUUACGUAAAAUGUGUAAAAAGUCAGGGAAUUUUAUUAUUUUCUUUCAGGAAUUCUGUUUAGGAAAAUUUUGUAGUUUUAUUGGUCUUGGUAUUAUUUGGUCUAAUUAGUUUAUCGGGUGGUGUAAAACAAACAAAAUUAUUUCAUGCCAACUUUUCGUCAAGGGUGUAAAAUACAAAAUUAAUUUAUAAAUAUAAAAGAGGUGACAUAAAUUUACUUAUUAAAAAACAGUGUUGCUGCAAUGUUUGAACUUACCUAGAAAUGUUAUGUAUUUAAAGUUAAUAAAUGAAAUUAUUGAUAUUGUAAACAUUGGAGAGUAGUAUGUUGAUGGAGAGGUGAACCUAAUGUUUGUUAUAGUGUUGUAAAGUAGCAUGCUAUUUAUUUUAUGCUGAUAUAUAUCAAGAUAAAUAUUAUGAUACUUAUCUUUCAGUUUUUGUUAAAAAAAAGUCACAAAUUGCUAAUUUUUUAUUUUUCUGCAAUUGUCCCUUUAAUUUAAUACCAAAUACAUAGUAUAAAAUUAUAAAAUUACUAAAAAAUAGAUCAAUAUUAAUAUAUUACUUAUUUUAGUUAUUUUACUGAACACCUAGACUUGUUGAUAAUUGAAAUCUGGAUGGUGGAUCGUAUGAUGGAUGCAAAUAAUUAAGAAAUUUUUGGAAAUAUUUGUUUUCCACCAAUGACAACGGUGAACAGGUAUCAAACAUUGCUCGUGCUAGUAAAAUAUUAGCUUUGAUGUUUUCCUCUUUUGUCAUCUUGUCUAAAAAAUUUCCAAUGCUUAUUGCUGAUGCUGAUGCAUACUAGUACUACUAGCAAUGCUAGAUGUUACCUGUACCUGUCAAUAUUUAUAAUUAUUAAUACGUUGUAAGUUGACACUGUGAUGAUUCUUACCUUUUUACAGUUUUUUUGUGUAUUUUUCAAAUUUUUUUCAAACAAACUUUUUACUUCGGCAGGUGCUUGACAGUGGUUUUCCAUCCCUAGUGGAUUUGCAAUAAAAGUUUUUUUUACAAAAUAUAAAUAUAUUUAUCCUUUUUGUAUCUUCUAAAAUAUUUCCACACUAUGUGCUUGUGACGUCCCAUGCUUUUAUCACUAUGCACUCUAAUGUAUGUGUUCUAAAUUAUUGCAUCAACAAAAGCCGAUUAAUUAAGAUGGAAAAAACUGAUAAACUUUCAAAAAUAUAUUUUAUAUUUGUUUCCUUAUUUUCCCUUUGACAGAUUAGUUUAGUAAACGUAUCAUGUAUCAGCAUCAUAAGUAUCAGACUCACAUCACUAGUUUGUUAUAAAUUUGUAUUUACAAAUUAUACAUUUUUAUGCCUUUGUUUAUUUUUAACUUUCCCGAUAGGGAAGUUAAUACUUAUAUCAAUUAUAUCGCAUUUAUAUCGUUUUGCAUUAAACUUUAUUAUAAAAAUA